ACACUUCUUUUGGUAGAGAUAAAUGUUAAAAAACAGCAACAGAGAAGCAGCACGGUACCUCUGCUGGUAGGAACCGGGGGAGCUCACCCACAGCACUCUGGGGUGGAGGCUGGGGCUGGGAGUGGGGGUCGGGACCCACAUUUGGGGUCGGGACCCACAUUUGGGGUCAGGACCCACAUUUGGGGUCAGGACCCACCUUUGGGGUCAGGACCCAACCCUUGGGAUCAGGACCCACAUUUGGGGUCAGGAGUCACCUUUGGGGUUGGGACCAACCCUUGGGGUCAGGACCCACAUUUGGGGUCGGGACCAACCUUUGGGGUCAGGACCCGCAUUUGGGUCAGGAGUCACCUUUGGGGUCAGGAGUCACCUUUGGGGUCAGGACCCACAUUUGGGUCAGGAGUCACCUUUGGGGUCAGGACCCACAUUUGGGGUCCGGCCCCACCCUUGGCUGUCCCAUGGUGGCUCCUGCUCUGGGGGUGCACAACUGGACCAGGGGGUGCUGGGCUGUGGCCAGGAGGGGUUUUUGGGGUCUCCAGCCCAGGAGGGGCCAGGUGCCUUCACCUGCCCCCCAUUGCCCACACCUGCCCUGGGGGCACCUCUGGGGGUACUUGGUGGCCCUGGGGGUACUCUGGGAGUACCUGGGGGUACCUGGAGGUUCCUCUGGGGGCACCUGGUGGCCCUGGGGGUACCUGGGGGUACCUGGGGGUUCCUCUGGGAGUACCUGAGGUACCUCUGAGGGCACCUGGAGGUACCUGGGGGCACCUGGGGGUACCUGGGGGCACCUGGGGGCACCUGGGGGNNNNNNNNNNNNNNNNGGGGGUACCUGGGGGCACCUGGGGGCACCUGGGGGUACCUGGAGGUUCCUCUGGGGGUACCUGGGGGUACCUGGGGGUACUCUGGGGGUACCUGUUGGUACCCUGGGCCGUCUCGCUGCAGCACAAGGAGCAUCUCGAGCCAUGGCCGGGCUGUUUUCUGUUUCCUCCCCUCUCGGGGUGUCCCAGCCCAGCCCCGCUCAGGUUGGGGUGUCCCCUCAGCACCGGUGGUGGCACCGGGAGGGGACCCCAGUGGUCCCUGCAGGGGUGACAUCCCAAAGGAGGGUACCCAGAGCAGGGGGGACAAAGCCACCCCAGUACAGCAGAGCUCGAUGGGAGGAUGAAUCCCAGUUUGCAUAAACCCAGAAAACGCCAGGAAUCGCCCAAAAUACCCCAAACCCGAGCAGGAAGCCAUCCAGCUGCCAUCCGUGCCACCUUGGCAUCCUCGGGGCAGCUCUGCCCCACUGCAGGGACCUGUCCUGCCCCCCUUGCUCCCAGGAUGUAAAACAAUCAAAAUAAUCACAAAGAAACAACGACAACAAAAAUCUACAUACAUAUGUACAGGCUACGUUGUAAACAGCACAAAAAAAAAAAACACAAAAAAAAGGAAAAAAAAAAUAGCUGAAAAGUGUGGUUGAACUUUUUAAGAGAAUAUUAUAAAUACUGUAAUAUAUCAUUUUAUUUUAUUGGCAUGCCUUUUUGUAAAUACAAAGAACUAAAAAAAAAAAUUAUAGAAUGGCUUCUGGCUUAUGCCAUUGUCCAUGGUUAUUUUUAUUUUUUUAAGAUUUUUCUGUUGUCCUUAGAUUUUAGAUAGCCAGGAAAUGUCCCCCAAAGGAAAAAAAAAUAAAAAUAAAACCACAACAACA
ensembl:lncRNA